UACAAACGAUGAACACGUCAUAGACAAUGCAAGUAUACCACUUACUUCUUCUAGACAAACAUUUUCAAAUUUUGUGUAGCACAUAUCUCAGUAUAUAUAAUGUUGUGUUGGCUGUUGUCAUACUUCAUUUAGCGUUUUAAAUUUUUUAUUUAAGAAUCAUUACCUACUUGAAAAAAUGAAUUUUAAAAGCAUCAUUUUGAUUGUAACCGCCUUGCUUUGCAUUAUCAUGUCAGCGUAUGCAGCUAAACCUACUGGUGUGGAUCCUAACCCACCACGCCCAAUACCAAAACCACGACCAGCUCCAUUAAUAAUACCACGACCGCCGAUUUUUUGAUAAAACUUAUAUAGGUUAUAAAAGUAUAAUUCUAUAUGCAAUUUUAUCAUUCGUUUUUCGAAUGACUAUGAAAAUUAACGACAGUUAAAUUUUUACCAACAAAUCUACAGUAUCCAAGAGCUGUGUCACAUUCAUACAAUCAUGUAUAUUAUAAAAUGUCCAUCUUCGUUUAUCAUUAUGUUUCAAACUUCAGGUUUUACUAUUAAUAAUAACUAUUCCAUAUUAUUAAUAUUAUAAUAUUAUUUAUAUGAUAGGUAACAAAAUAUAUUGUUACCUUUCAUAUAAAUAAUUUUAUGUUUAUUGCAUAUACCUGUCUACCAAUAAAAACAAUAUUCAC